CCUCUUUUCUCUGACUUUCUCUGCUACUUCUGAUGCGUCGGCGUCGGAGCUGCUUAGCUGAUUAUGGAGUUGCAUCGGAUGCGUGUUGGUUGCUUCUGCGUUGAAGUUGCUGGUGGUGUUUUGGUUUUGAGCUGAAGGUGUGGUUUGAACAAAAUGGUGAUAAUUUUGGAUCAUUGUGUUUGGCAUGGUAUAGUGCAGAAAUUUGGACACAUUAUGCAGAGAUAUGGAGCAGGAUUUUGGACACAUUCUUUUGGCAUACAGGUUAUGAGGGAGCAGGAUUUUGGACACAUUCUUUUGGCAUACAGGUUAUGAGAUGAUGGUGAUGUGUGAUGCGUGGGAAAGAGAAAGAUGAAGAAGGACUUUUUUUUUUGUUUGACCAUUUUGUUUUGUUUUAAUGGGCUUUAGUAAAAAAAAGAGAAUGGGCCUAAACAAUUAAAAAAGACUUAAGUUUUUAUAUAUUUUUUUUAUCUAUUCAUUCUUUUAUUAAUAACUCUAAAUUUAACUAAAUCUAAAAAAAUAAUAAUAACAAUAACAAAAAUAAAACUUAUAAUAAUAUUAAAAUUAAAACUAAUGACUAAAAUGAAAAGGUAAACAAAAUCGAGAAAUAUGCAAGAAAUGCGACGAUAUAAUGCAAAUGAAAUACGAAUGCGAUAAUAUGAAAUGAAUGAAAUAUGUGGGCCAAAAAUUUGGGUGCGACAAGGGGCAACUGUUG